rnacentral:rRNA from 1 species
GACAGAGGGUGCAACCGUUGUUCGGAAUUACUGGGCGUAAAGCGAGUGUAGGCGGUGUGGUAAGUCGGAUGUGAAAUUCCUGGGCUCAACCUGGGGGCUGCAUUUGAUACGUGUGGACUAGAGUGGGGAAGAGGGUCGUGGAAUUCCCAGUGUAGAGGUGAAAUUCGUAGAUAUUGGGAAGAACACCGGUGGCGAAGGCGGCGACCUGGUCCUUGACUGACGCUGAGGCGCGAAAGCGUGGGGAGCAAACAGG